rnacentral:rRNA from 1 species
GACGAACGCUGGCGGCGUGCUUAACACAUGCAAGUCGAGCGGUAAGGCCCUUUCGGGGGUACACGAGCGGCGAACGGGUGAGUAACACGUGGGUGACCUGCCCUCAGCUCUGGGAUAAGCCUGGGAAACUGGGUCUAAUACUGGAUAUGACUCCACGGUGCAUGUCGUGGGGUGGAAAGCCUUGUGCGGCUGAGGAUGGGCCCGCGGCCUAUCAGCUUGUUGGUGGGGUGAUGGCCUACCAAGGCGACGACGGGUAGCCGGCCUGAGAGGGCGACCGGCCACACUGGGACUGAGACACGGCCCAGACUCCUACGGGAGGCAGCAGUGGGGAAUCUUGCGCAAUGGGCGAAAGCCUGACGCAGCGACGCCGCGUGAGGGAUGACGGCCUGGUGUAAC